rnacentral:rRNA from 1 species
UCCUGGCUACAGGACGAACGCUGGCGGCGCGCCUAACACAUGCAAGUCGAACGAGAGAUGAGGAGCUUGCUCUUCAGAUCGAGUGGCGAACGGGUGAGUAACGCGUGAGGAACCUGCCUCAAAGAGGGGGACAACAGUUGGAAACGACUGCUAAUACCGCAUAAGCCCACGGCUCGGCAUCGAGCAGGGGGAAAAGGAGCAAUCCGCUUUGAGAUGGCCUCGCGUCCGAUUAGCUAGUUGGUGAGGUAACGGCCCACCAAGGCGACGAUCGGUAGCCGGACUGAGAGGUUGAACGGCCACAUUGGGACUGAGACACGGCCCAGACUCCUACGGGAGGCAGCAGUGGGGAAUAUUGCACAAUGGGGGAAACCCUGAUGCAGCGACGCCGCGUGGAGGAAGAAGGUCUUCGGAUUGUAAACUCCUGUUGUUGAGGAAGAUAAUGACGGUACUCAACAAGGAAGUGACGGCUAACUACGUG